rnacentral:tRNA from 1 species
GGGGAUAUAGCUCAGUUGGUAUAGUAUUUGCCUUGCAUGCACAAGGCCCUGGGUUCAAUCCCCAGUACCACCA